CCUACGGGAUGCACCAGUGGGGAAUAUUGCACAAUGGGCGCAAGCCUGAUGCAGCCAUGCCGCGUGUAUGAAGAAGGCCUUCGGGUUGUAAAGUACUUUCAGCGGGGAGGAAGGUGUUGUGGUUAAUAACCACAGCAAUUGACGUUACCCGCAGAAGAAGCACCGGCUAACUCCGUGCCAGCAGCCGCGGUAAUACGGAGGGUGCAAGCGUUAAUCGGAAUUACUGGGCGUAAAGCGCACGCAGGCGGUCUGUCAAGUCGGGUGUGAAAUCCCCGGGCUCAACCUGGGAACUGCAUUCGUAACUGGCAGGCUAGAGUCUUGUAGAGGGGGGUAGAAUUCCAGGUGUAGCGGUAAAAUGCGUAGAGAUCUGGAGGAAUACCUGUGGCGAGGGCGGCCCCCUGGACAAAGACUGACGCUCAGGUGCGAAAGCGUGGGGAGCAAACAGGAUUAGAUACCCGUGUAGUC
rnacentral:rRNA from 1 species